rnacentral:rRNA from 1 species
AUAGCGUAUAUUAAAGUUGUUGCAGUUAAAAAGCUCGUAGUUGAACCUUGGGCCUGGCUGUCUGGUCCGCCUCACGGUGUGUACUAGUUUGGCUGGGUCUUUCCUUCUGGCAAACCGCAUGCCCUUCGCUGGGUGUGUUGGGGAACCAGGACUUUUACUUUGAAAAAAUUAGAGUGUUCAAAGCAGGCAUAUGCUCGAAUACAUUAGCAUGGAAUAAUAGAAUAGGACGUGCAGUUCUAUUUUGUUGGUUUCUAGGACUGCCGUAAUGAUUAAUAGGGAUAGUCGGGGGCAUCCGUAUUCAAUUGUCAGAGGUGAAAUUCUUGGAUUUAUUGAAGACGAACUACUG